GUCUGUGUAAACAUGUAAGAGUUUAUGGUAUGUGUAAACAUGUAAGAGUUUAUGGUCUGUGUAAACAUGUAAGAGUUAAUGAUGUGUGUAAACAUGUAAGAGUUAAUGGUAUGUGUAAACAUAUAAGAGUUAAUGGUAUGUGUAAAUGUUGUAAGAGUUAAUGGUAUGUGUAAAUGUUGUAAGAGUUAAUGGUAUUUGUAAACCUUGUAAGAUUUAUGGUCUGUUUAUGGAUAUAAAGUGUGUCAUUGCAAUAUGUGUGAAUGUUGUAAGAGUUAAUGGUAUGUGUAAACUUUGUAAGAUUUAUGGUCUGUUUAUGGAUAUAAAGUGUGUCAUUGCAAUAUGUGUGAAUGUUGUAAGAGUUAAUGGUAUGUGUAAACUUUGUAAGAUUUAUGGUCUGUUUAUGGAUAUAAAGUGUGUCAUUGCAAUAUGUGUGAAUGCAAAAAUGUUUGAAGGAAAAGUACAUUAUCAUUUAAAAACGUGUCCACAUAAAAUGUAUUAACAUGAAAUAUGUCUAACAAAAUGUGUCGGCACAUUAUAUGUUAGACAUGACACGCGUUGACACAGUGGGCGCAAACGGUAAUUGUGUCUGUAUUCCUUAAUGAUUUCUGCUGUCAUGCUGUUUACCGAUAUCAUCUGUUGCCUGUCCACACAGAAUUGACCAAAAUUAUUUUAAAAGAAAGAUUAUAUAAUUAUAUAUAUAUACAAUGUACAUACAUUUCUAGAUAUGUACAUUCAGUAUAACUUUAUUUAUGGAAAUACUUUUUUUAUUCAGACCAAAAAGUUUUGUUCGAUGGAGUUGUGUCUUUAUGUCUGUCUGUCUGUCUGUCUGUCUGUCUGUCUGUCUGUCUGUCUGUCUGUCUGUCUGUCUGUCUGUCUGUCUUCCAGUCUUUUUGUCUGUCUGUAGCUAUGGCAGGAGUUACGAGUCGUGAGUCUGUGUGGCGAGGGUGUGAACGGGAGGAGAUCAGCCGUGUUGCGUCUGCCGAUUCUGACGUGAGUUCUGUCGAAGGUUCGCCAGAUUGUGUUUCUCAUCAAUGCCAGGGGAUGCUGUUGGGUCCAUAUUUUAGGCAAUUUUUAUAGUCCAAGAUUUUGGUCCAUGUUUUGGUCCAAAUUUCAAUCCAUGUUUUUGGUCCAUUUUAUGGCGUAGUUAUGGUCCGUUUCUCGGUUCGAACUUUGGCUCCGUUUUUUUGAGUCCACUUGAUAGCUCCUCACGGGCUCCUCUCUCCUCAGGGCACACAGGUGAGACAGAAGACGCUGAGAGCGGUGGCCUCCUUGUGAGAAUAUUUGCCAUACAGUGAAAACAUUGGCUCAGAUCUUUGAGAGCUUGUUGUGUGAAGUUAGAGAUUCCUGUACGGUACGCUGAUGUGGUGUGGAGUUGGGGAUACCACAUGUCUCUUGUGAUAUAACUGGACUUUUAUUUAUCAGAUUUAAUGUAAAAAAGAAGGGCUCUGUGUGUCUGAUGUAAUGUAAGAAUAAGGGUAAUGUAAAAGUAAUGUGUAAUGUAAGAUAUAAAUAAUAAGGGUCUCAGGUAAUGGGAAGAAAAGGUGUAAGGUAAUGUGAAGAAAAGGGUGUAAGGAAAGGGUGUAAGGAAAGGGUGUAAGGUAAUGUGAAGAAAAGGGUGUAAGGAAAGGGUGUAAGGUAAUGUGAAGAAAAGGGUGUAAGGUAAUGUGAAGAAAAGGGUGAUGUGAAAAUAAGGGUGUACGGUAAUGUAAAGAUAAAGGUGUACGGUAAAGUGAAGAUGUAAGGGUUCUUGUUUGUCCAUUGUAAUGUAAAGACAAAGGUGAUAGGUAAUGUGAAGAUUAGGGUGUAAGGUAAUGUGAAGAUUAGGUUGUAAGGUAAUGUGAAGAUUAGGGUGUAAGGUAAUGUGAAGAUGUAGAUUUAUAGGUUCUUGUUUGUCCAUUGUAAUGUAAAGACAAAGGUGAUGUAGGAAAUGUGAAGAUGUAACGGUUCUUGUAUGCCCGAUGUAAUGUGAAGACAAAAGUGAUAGGUAAUGUGAAGAUAAGAUAAGAUAAGAUAGUACUUUAUUAUCCCAGAGGGAAAUUUUCCUAGGCUGUACAGGACCGUAAAUACACAUGCAGGUAUAC